rnacentral:rRNA from 1 species
CGGAACGGGUGAGUAACGCGUGGGUAACCUGCCUCAUACAGGGGGAUAACAGUUAGAAAUGGCUGCUAAUACCGCAUAAGACCACAGUACUGCAUGGUACAGUGGUAAAAACUCCGGUGGUAUGAGAUGGACCCGCGUCUGAUUAGGUAGUUGGUGAGGUAACGGCCCACCAAGCCGACGAUCAGUAGCCGACCUGAGAGGGUGACCGGCCACAUUGGGACUGAGACACGGCCCAG